GAUGAACGCUGGCGGCGUGCUUAACACAUGCAAGUCGAACGGUGAACACGGAGCUUGCUCUGUGGGAUCAGUGGCGAACGGGUGAGUAACACGUGAGCAACCUGCCCCUGACUCUGGGAUAAGCGCUGGAAACGGCGUCUAAUACUGGAUACGAGUAGCGGCCGCAUGGUCAGUUACUGGAAAGAUUUUUUGGUUGGGGAUGGGCUCGCGGCCUAUCAGCUUGUUGGUGAGGUAAUGGCUCACCAAGGCGUCGACGGGUAGCCGGCCUGAGAGGGUGACCGGCCACACUGGGACUGAGACACGGCCCAGACUCCUACGGGAGGCAGCAGUGGGGAAUAUUGCACAAUGGGCGAAAGCCUGAUGCAGCAACGCCGCGUGAGGGAUGACGGCCUUCGGGUUGUAUACCUCUUUUAGCAGGGAAGAAGCGAAAGUGACGGUACCUGCAGAAAAAGCGCCGGCUAACUACGUGCCAGCCGCCGCAGUAA
rnacentral:rRNA from 1 species